rnacentral:lncRNA from 1 species
AGAGAGAGAGAGCCGGAUAGAGAGGUUGCCGGAGAGAGAGAGUUCACCGGAGAGAGAGCGCCUGAGAGAGAGGUCGUCGGAGAGAGAGCGCCUGAGAGAGAGGUCGCCGGAGAGAGAGCGCUUGAGAGAGAGGUCGCCGGAGAGAGAGGUCGCCGGAGAGAGAGACUGAGAGAGAGAGGUCGCCGGAGAGAGAGAGAGCACGCCUGAGAGAAAGAGAGAGAGCGCCUGAGAGAGAUAGCUCGCCGGAGAGAGAUAGCUCGCCGGAGAGAGAUAGUUAACCGGAGAGAGAGGUCAUCGGGGAGAGAGAUCGGAGAGGUUGCCAUGAGAGAGAUCAGAGAGGUCGUCGGAGAGAGGUCGGAGGAGAAGAAGAUUGGCCGCCAAGAGAGAGAGAGUACGUGAGAGAUGAGAGUGAAGCUCAUAAGUUUUAGGGUUAUGUGUAGCAGGGUCAUUUUUGUCAUUGACCGUUUUUGACUGAAUCAGGUGCAGCUGGAUGCAUGGUGAAGACUCAACCAGUUUUUUUUAAAAAGUUCAGUUGAGUUUUC